rnacentral:rRNA from 1 species
UACAGAGGUGGCAAGCGUUGUUCGGAAUUACUGGGCGUAAAGGGCGCGUAGGCGGCCUACUAAGUCAGACGUGAAAUCCCCCGGCUUAACCUGGGAACUGCGUCUGAUACUGGAAGGCUUGAGGAUGGGAGAGGGAUGUAGAAUUCCAGGUGUAGCGGUGAAAUGCGUAGAUAUCUGGAGGAAUACCGGUGGCGUAGGCGGCAUCCUGGACCAUUACUGACGCUGAGGCGCGAAAGCUAGGGGAGCAAACGGG